GGCUCUGUGGCGCAAUGGAUAGCGCAUUGGACUUCUAGACAAACAAAGACAUUCAAAGGUUGUGGGUUCGAGUCCCACCAGAGUCG
rnacentral:tRNA from 1 species